UAGGGAAUAUUGGUCAAUGGAUGCAAGUCUGAACCAGCCAUGCCGCGUGCAGGAAGAAGGCCUUCUGGGUUGUAAACUGCUUUUGCCGGGGGAUAAAAUUCCCAUGCGUGGGACAUUGAAGGUACCCGGUGAAUAAGCCACGGCUAACUACGUGCCAGCAGCCGCGGUAAUACGUAGGUGGCAAGCGUUGUCCGGAUUUAUUGGGUUUAAAGGGUGCGUAGGCGGCCUAUUAAGUCAGUUCUGAAAUAUCCCGGCUUAACCGGGAGGGUGGGAUUGAUACUGAUGGGCUUGAGUGGAGUCGAGGUAGGCGGAAUUGACGGUGUAGCGGUGAAAUGCUUAGAUAUCGUCAAGACACCGAUAGUGUAGACAGCUUACUAGACUUCAACUGACGCUGAGGCACGAAAGUGUGGGGAUCAAACAGGAUUAGAUACCCUGGUAGUCCACACUGUAAACGUUGAUUACUCGCUGUGUGCGAUAUACAGUACGCGGCUUAGACG
rnacentral:rRNA from 1 species